UCUCCGUUGGUGAACCAGCGGAGGGAUCAUUACCGAGUGCAAACUCAUAACCCUUUGUGAACCUAUAUCUGUUGCUUCGGCGGCUCGCUCUCGGGCGAGCCCGCCGGUAAUAUCAGUAUCUCUGUUUGAACCCGACGAUACUUCUGAGUGUUCUUAGCGAACAGUUAAAACUUUUAACAACGGAUCUCUUGGCUCUAGCAUCGAUGAAGAACGCGGC
rnacentral:misc_RNA from 1 species